rnacentral:tRNA from 1 species
CAAGUUAUUCUUAGUGAGGUUAUUAUUUACAAUAAUAUUUAUAGUUGUGCGAUUCAACUUAACUUGA